rnacentral:tRNA from 1 species
GCGUCCGUAGCUCAACCGGAUAGAGUAACAGACUUCGAAUCUGUAGGUCGCCCGUUCGAGUCGGGCCGGACGCA